ACGGGGAUGCCAUUUUUGAGGCGGUUAGUUCUUUAAAAACCAAGAUGCCGGCAUCUUAGUGGCGGACGGGUGAGUAACGCGUGGGUAACCUGCCUUAUACAGGGGUCUAAAAAUUAGAAAUAGGUGCUAAUACCGCAUAAGCGCACGGGGCUGCAUGGCCCAGUGUGAAAAACUCCGGUGGUAUAAGAUGGACCCGCGUCUGAUUAGCUUGUUGGCGGGGUAACGGCCCACCAAGGCGACGAUCAGUAGCCGGCCUGAGGGGGUGGACGGCCACAUUGGGACUGAGACACGGCCCAAACUCCUACGGGAGGCAGCAGUGGGGAAUAUUGUAUUUUGGGGGGAACCCUGAUCCAGCGACGCCGCGUGAGUGAAGAAGUAUUUCGGUAUGUAAUUCUCUAUCACCACGGAAGAAAGAAAUGACGGUACCUGACUAAAAAGCCCCGGCUAACUACGUGCCAGCAGCCGCGGUAAUACUUAGGGGGCAAGCGUUAUCCGGAUUUACUGGGUGUAAAGGGAGC
rnacentral:rRNA from 1 species